GUCUAUAUGAAGUUAUAUAAAGUCUAACCUGCCCAUUGAAUUUUUAAAAGGCCGCGGUAUCCUAACUGUGCAAAGGUAGCAUAAUAAUUAGUUUUUUAAUUGAAAACUUGUAUGAAAGGUUGGACAAAGAAAAAUCUGUCUUUAAUAUUUAUUUUGAACUUUACAUUUAAGUGAAAAGGCUUAAAUUAAUUUAAGGGACGAUAAGACCCUAUAAAUCUUCACAUUUAUUUAUUUUUUAUUAAUUUAGAUUAUUUAUAAAUCAAAAUAUGAAUAUAUGUUUUAUUGGGGUGAUAGAGAUAUAAUUAAAUAACUGUUUUUAAAAAUAUACAAAUAUAAUUGAUUAAACAUAAAGAUCCUUCUUAAAGAUUAAAAGUUUAAGUUACUUUAGGGAUAACAGCGUAAUUUUUUUUGAGAGUUCUUAUCGAAAAAAAAGUUUGCGACCUCGAUGUUGAAUUAAAAAUUCCUUAUAAUGCAGAAGUUAUAAAGGAAAGUCUGUUCGACUUUUAAAUUUU
rnacentral:rRNA from 1 species